UGAGGAAUAUUGGUCAAUGGGCGAGAGCCUGAACCCGCCAAGUAGCGUGCAGGAUGACGGCCCUAUGGGUUGUAAACUGCUUUUAUGUGGGGAUAAAGUGCGUGACGUGUCAUGCAUUGCAGGUACCACAUGAAUAAGGACCGGCUAAUUCCGUGCCAGCAGCCGCGGUAAUACGGAAGGUCCGGGCGUUAUCCGGAUUUAUUGGGUUUAAAGGGAGCGUAGGCUGUCUAUUAAGCGUGUUGUGAAAUUUACCGGCUCAACCGGUGGCUUGCAGCGCGAACUGGUCGACUUGAGUAUGCAGGAAGUAGGCGGAAUUCAUGGUGUAGCGGUGAAAUGCUUAGAUAUCAUGACGAACUCCGAUUGCGCAGGCAGCUUACUGUAGCAUAACUGACGCUGAUGCUCGAAAGUGCGGGUAUCAAACAGG
rnacentral:rRNA from 1 species